AGAGUUUGAUCAUGGCUCAGGAUGAACGCUAGCUACAGGCUUAACACAUGCAAGUCGAGGGGAAACGACAUCGAAAGCUUGCUUUUGAUGGGCGUCGACCGGCGCACGGGUGAGUAACGCGUAUCCAACCUGCCCACCACUUGGGGAUAACCUUGCGAAAGUAAGACUAAUACCCAAUGACGUCUCUAGAAGACAUCUGAAGGAGAUUAAAGAUUUAUCGGUGAUGGAUGGGGAUGCGUCUGAUUAGCUUGUUGGCGGGGUAACGGCCACCAAGGCGACGAUCAGUAGGGGCUCUGAGAGGAACGGUCCCCCACAUUGGAACUGAGACACGGUACCAAACUCCGUACGGGAGGCA
rnacentral:rRNA from 1 species